rnacentral:tRNA from 1 species
UCCCUGGUGGCUCAGAGGUUAAAGCGUAUGCCUCCAAUGCAGGAGACCUGGGUUCGAUCCCUGGGUCGGGAA